GCUGGGAGGCUCUGCUGUAAGGUAGUGAGCUCCCUGUCUUUACAGUUAUUCCAAAGGUUGAUGUUCACCCUUGGGUGCCACAGUCGUGAGGACCCUUGUAUCGGGAGGGAGAUGGCUCCUCGCAGCCUUGGGAUUCCUCAAGCCUGGGGCUGGCCUCCUGGUCUGUGAUUCUAAACGUGGAGGCUGUAGGCAUUUAUUCUAACAUUCAUGUUGUUCUAACCGAGUGCCAGGCUCUAACUGCUCACAAACACCUGCACCUUUGCUUCUCAUGGUAAGCCUCUGAACUGGGCACUCACGUUUCUGUUUUGUGGACAGGGAGCCCAAGGCCGAGAGAAGGGACUUAGCCAGGAGCUCCCAGCUAGUCACCUCCAGGUCCUGUCCUCCGAACUGCUCCGCUACUGCAGUUCUCUCUGCGGCGUUUCCAGGAGGCCGGCUGCUAGCUUAGUCCGGGCAUGGCUGGGGCUCUUCUGGCAGAGUCCAGAGCAGGCAAGACAAGCGCUCUGGGACGGGUGGGUUUCAAGAGGGGUCCUGUUGUGCAGGCCCAGAGAAUAACCCGAAGGGUGUCGUUGGUGGCAGGCACGGUAACACCCAGGUAACAAGGGGAGGGGACAGUCCCUCCAGAGAGGCAGGAGGCUCACAGUGAUAGAGGCUCUGGAAACCUGAACGUCCGGACAGGCAAGUGAUGUCGGGAUGGCGGUGAUUCAUCAUGGAACUCCAGGACCUGGGCAAGAGGGGGCAUGGAGUUUCAGAGAAGGGGACUCUCUGUCCCGGAGCAAGUGAAGGCUGUGGCAUCAGAAGAGGGAGGCCACGCCAGAAGCAUUCAGAAAGAAGGACAUGAUGUGAAGCUCCAGGUCUGGGCUGGGAACAGCUGCCUCAGGAAAGGAGGCCUGACUUCAGAACCCAGAGUCUGGGCCUUAAUCCCUGGAUUUGCUGCCUUUGCUCCUUGUGUGAUCACAGCGGGCUCAGUUAACCUCUCUGACCUUUGGUUUCUUAUCUUAAAAGGUCCACGCUGGGUGGUCAUUGGAGAGUUUGCCGCUGCUGACCAGCUGGCCGUCAGUCCUGGAGCACCGAGAGGAGUGGAGGAUGCACAAGGACUGCAGUGGAGACGCUGCUGUCCCCCUCCCCUGAGCCCACUGGGACCUCUGGCUUUGCUGGCUGCGUGUGGUCCUGCCACACACUGACUGGCUCCCACUCCCAUGGGGCUAUGCCAAGACUUGAUGCAGACCAGCAUAAAUUGCUUGGAAGUCACAUGUUGAAGAUGAAAGCCACAAGAUGGAAGGAUGCUAGACACCCAGGCCCUGCUUGGAGAAGAACUACCCCACUUGUAGGGAUGCUAUUCGAGUCUAGUAUAAGUGGGAAAUAAACUUCUGUUGUGUUGGAGCUAUCAUACAUUUUGGAGUUUAUUUUUACAAAUUAAUUUAGACACUGUGAGCUACAGAAAGCAUUAUCUGUCACAUGGUGGGGUUAAACAAAUAAAAGUGCCCUUCUGCCUGACAACAGUGUUCU